rnacentral:tRNA from 1 species
CGACGGUAGCUCAGCAAGGUAGAGCGCACGGUGUUUCACCGUGAGGUCCCCGGUUCGAUUCCGGGCUGUCGAA